rnacentral:rRNA from 3 species
UAGGGAAUCUUCCGCAAUGGACGAAAGUCUGACGGAGCAACGCCGCGUGAGUGAUGAAGGUUUUCGGAUCGUAAAACUCUGUUGUCAGGGAAGAACAAGUACGAUAGUAACUGAUCGUACCUUGACGGUACCUGACCAGAAAGCCACGGCUAACUACGUGCCAGCAGCCGCGGUAAUACGUAGGUGGCAAGCGUUGUCCGGAAUUAUUGGGCGUAAAGCGCUCGCAGGCGGUUCUUUAAGUCUGAUGUGAAAUCUUGCGGCUCAACCGCAAACGUGCAUUGGAAACUGGAGGACUUGAGUGCAGAAGAGGAGAGUGGAAUUCCACGUGUAGCGGUGAAAUGCGUAGAGAUGUGGAGGAACACCAGUGGCGAAGGCGACUCUCUGGUCUGUAACUGACGCUGAGGAGCGAAAGCGUGGGGAGCGAACAGG